rnacentral:rRNA from 1 species
UACGGAGGGUGCGAGCGUUGUCCGGAAUCACUGGGCGUAAAGGGCGCGUAGGUGGCGCGGGCAGUCAACGGUGAAAGUUCGGGGCUCAACCCUGAAUCGGCCGUCGAUACUCCCGGGCUUGAGCACUGUAGAGGCAGAUGGAAUUCCGGGUGUAGCGGUGGAAUGCGUAGAGAUCCGGAAGAACACCGGUGGCGAAGGCGGUCUGCUGGGCAGUAGCUGACACUGAGGCGCGACAGCGUGGGGGAGCAAACAGG